rnacentral:rRNA from 1 species
GACGAACGCUGGCGGCGUGCCUAAUACAUGCAAGUCGAACGAGAGCGACCGGUGCUUGCACUGGUCAAUCUAGUGGCGAACGGGUGAGUAACACGUGGGUAACCUGCCCAUCAGAGGGGGAUAACAUCCGGAAACGGAUGCUAAAACCGCAUAGGUCUUCGAGCCGCAUGGCUUGAAGAGGAAAAGAGGCGCAAGCUUCUGCUGAUGGAUGGACCCGCGGUGCAUUAGCUAGUUGGUGAGGUAACGGCUCACCAAGGCCGUGAUGCAUAGCCGACCUGAGAGGGUGAUCGGCCACAUUGGAACUGAGACACGGCCCAGACUCCUACGGGAGGCAGCAGUAGGGAAUCUUCCGCAAUGGACGCAAGUCUGACGGAGCAACGCCGCGUGAGUGAAGAAGGUUUUCGGAUCGUAAAACUCUGUUGUUAGAGAAGAACAAGUGCUAGAGUAACUGUUAGCGCCUUGACGGUAUCUAACCAGAAAGCCACGGCUAACUACGUG